CGGAUUNAAGGCUGAAAUUCGCCUUCAUGAAGCUGGAAUUGCUAGUAAUGGCAGGCCAGCAUACUGCCGUGAAUAACGUUCCCCGGGCCCUUGUACACACCGCCCGUCACACCAUGAGAGUUGGAAAUACCCGAAGCCUGUGAGCUAACUUAAAGAGGCAGCAGUCGAAGGUAGAGCCAAUGAUUGGGGUGAAGUCGUAACAAGGUACC
rnacentral:rRNA from 1 species